rnacentral:rRNA from 1 species
GAAUUUUCCGCAAUGGGCGAAAGCCUGACGGAGUGACGCCGCGUGGGGGACGAAGGCCUUCGGGUUGUAAACCCCUGUCAGAGGGAAAGAAGGCGGGGCACGUUAACAGCGCGCUUCGUUGACGGUACCUUCAGAGGAAGCCCCGGCCACCUCUGUGCCCGCAGCCGCGGUAAGCCAGAGGGGGCAAGCGUUGCUCGGAAUCACUGGGCGUAAAGGGCGCGUAGGCGGGAUGGCAAGUCGGUCGUGAAAUCCCUGGGCUCAACUCAGGGGGGGCGGCCGAUACUGCCGUUCUUGAGGGAUGCAGAGGAGACUGGAAUUCCCGGUGUAGCGGUGAAAUGUGUAGAGAUCGGGAGGAACACCGGUGGCGAAGGCGGGUCUCUGGGCAUUCCCUGACGCUGAGGCGCGAAAGCGUGGGGAGCAAACGGG